CUGUUGCCUCAGCCCUGCAGAAGGGAAUAACCCUUGUCUAGGAGCUGGAAAGCCCCUUAGAGAUGGACCACUCCCACCCCCUCAUCUUGUCUCAAAUGAGUAACUCAAACUUGGAAAUAACAUGACACUUUUGAGAUUCAUAUUUUAUUUACAAGUAAAUGAAGACUGUCCCUGUAAACUCUAAUUUGGGAUAUGAAGAACAAUAUAAAGAAGUAGUUGCUGGUGCCACAGUGAUGUGUGAAGGAGUCUAUGCCACUGUUUCUUUAAACAGUGAUUUUGUUAUUAAAAAAAAAACCCACCUACACGAUUUCUUCAUGUUGCAUAUGUAAAAUAAUUAAAAAUAAAAGUGACUUUUCAAAACUCUACAGUCUGUGAUCAAAUGCGUGAGGUGGCCAGGAUGUCACUUUCACUCAGUGACAGCCCCUACUCUUCAAGAGCCAACAGCCUCUGGGCAAAAGAUUAGUACUCAUCAAGAGUAUCUGCUCGAGGAAUGGAAAGACCUCGGUCCUUCAGGGCCUGCACUUUCAACUUCUCUGCUUCCAGCUUGGUCUGCUGUUCCACC
ensembl:lncRNA novel transcript